UAACCCCCUUCGCAGGAGAAUCAUUUCUAUAGUAUUCGACCUCCUCUUGGUUCCCUAAAAGAGCCACAGAUCCCACCCUGGUUGAUGAGUGCAUAUCCUUGACACCCUAGAGUGAAUACCCUUGGUCCUCUCGCACUGUCCGCAAGGACGGCGGCGUCGCUCUGCGAUCUCUGUAUAGAGAGUUGUUUUCCUCUUGAUGAUCUCGACCCCGUUUGCGGUCUGCCCUCGGGCGCGCGUUCGGGGUGGGUGUUGAUGGACGUCUGACAGGC
rnacentral:snoRNA from 1 species